UCCGAGUUGACCCCGGCAGUCUCCUAUGAGUCCCCGGCAUAACCCGCUGGCAACAUAGAACGAGGGUUGCGCUCGUUGCGGGACUUAACCCAACAUCUCACGACACGAGCUGACGACAACCAUGCACCACCUGUACACCGCCCCGAAGGACCCCACAUCUCUGUGAGUUUUCGGUGUAUGUCAAGCCUUGGUAAGGUUCUUCGCGUUGCAUCGAAUUAAGCCGCAUGCUCCGCCGCUUGUGCGGGCCCCCGUCAAUUCCUUUGAGUUUUAGCCUUGCGGCCGUACUCCCCAGGCGGGGCGCUUAAUGCGUUAGCUACGGCACAGGAAUCGUGGAAAGAUCCCCACACCUAGCGCCCAACGUUUACAGCGUGGACUAC
rnacentral:misc_RNA from 1 species